rnacentral:rRNA from 1 species
GGGCCCGCACAAGCGGUGGAGCAUGUGGAUUAAUUCGAAGCAACGCGAAGAACCUUACCUAGCCUUGACAUCCUUGGAACUCUCCCGAAAAGGAGAGGUGCCCUUCGGGGAAUCAAGUGACAGGUGCUGCAUGGCUGUCGUCAGCUCGUGUCGUGAGAUGUUGGGUUAAGUCCCGCAACGAGCGCAACCCACGUCUUUAGUUGCCAGCAUUUAGUUGGGCACUCUAGAGAGACCGCCGGUGAUAAACCGGAGGAAGGUGUGGAUGACGUCAAGUCAUCAUGCCCCUUACAUCCUGGGCUACACACGUAAUACAAUGGAUGGUACAGAGGACGCCAACCCGCGAGGGGGAGCCAAUCCCAGAAAGCCAUUCGUAGUCCGGAUUGUUGUCUGCAACUCGACAACAUGAAGUCGGAAUCGCUAGUAAUCG